UAAGUGGGAAACGAUGUGGGAAGGCCCAGACAGCCAGGAUGUUGGCUUAGAAGCAGCCAUCAUUUAAAGAAAGCGUAAUAGCUCACUGGUCGAGUCGGCCUGCGCGGAAGAUGUAACGGGGCUAAACCAUGCACCGAAGCUGCGGCAGCGACGCUUAUGCGUUGUUGGGUAGGGGAGCGUUCUGUAAGCCUGCGAAGGUGUGCUGUGAGGCAUGCUGGAGGUAUCAGAAGUGCGAAUGCUGACAUAAGUAACGAUAAAGCGGGUGAAAAGCCCGCUCGCCGGAAGACCAAGGGUUCCUGUCCAACGUUAAUC
rnacentral:rRNA from 1 species